rnacentral:lncRNA from 1 species
GAAGGAGCCUGGAGAAAACGCAGCGCGGCCUUCUCUACCUCUCUCCACACCCCUCAGCCUGGCCUCCCUGUGACUUCCCUGGGAUUAUGCUUCCUGCUCUUCACCCCUAUCCAGUCCUGAUAGGUUCCAGCUGCGUGACCUCCACUUAGGUACAGUUACAGUUAAGUAUGUUUGGAACAUGGAAGGGGACAGUUAAUCUGGAAAAGAAAAAGAAGAAAACCACCACUAACCAGUGCAUGACUGCUUUGUGGGCAGGGGAGGAGAUUUCUCUUUACAGACUGCUGACAGUCCUUUUAAAAAAAAUCUGCAGACUGUGACAUUAAGAUUAAAUGCAGAACCUUUUUGAAAGUUUGAUUGUCUGCAGUGAGAUUAGAAAGACCACCAGUAAGUGGUGGAUAAGUAAGUAAGGUGGAUAAGUAAAUAAGUAAGACACCACUUAUUUUUUUAAAAUAAGUGUAUCAUUUGAAUUUGUUGUUUCCUGUACCAUCACAUUAUUAGAACCCAGGACUUCGUAGUUAAGUAGAGUUAUGCAGAAAUUUCAGAUGCCUCCUGAAUUCAUCUCGAUUCCCCACGAAGGUCAAGGCAGUGUUCCCAAGUGGUGGGAAUCAUCAAUAAGCUUUUAUUGAAUUAACAAAGACUGGCGGGUACACAGCACACCACAGUGGGGAAAGGGCUAGCUAUUUGGGGGAUUAAUCCUAUCUUAAAGAAAGCUUGGGAAUCAGAAGGUCCUGAGCCGACUCCCAGCUCCCCACUUGCUCUGUGAACUUGAGCUAGUCUUCUGAACUCCUGCGUUCUCUGAGCAGGUGAGAGCAGUCCCUUCUCUGGUAGGGUGGCUGUGAGUUAUUUCAGUCCUCUGUGUAGCACACUACCUGAGACUCAGUGCCUAAAAACAGCCGCUCAUCUUGCUCUUCUGGCGGUGGGACAGGGAUCUGGGGAGGAAUCUGGGGCAGGGUGUCUCUGACCCACAGGCAUGGCUGGGGCUGGCUGGGCUGGAGGUCCUGGCUGUAGCAAAUUCAAGCAUCUAUAGGGGGAGGCUUGGUCUUCCUGUUCUCUCCUCUUACCCUCUAUGCCUGUCAUUCCUUAUUGAGUAAGGGUGGAUUUGUUUUUGUACUGGAGAUUGAACCCAGGGGUGUUCAACCACUGAGCCUCAUACACAGCCCUCUUUAUUUUCUUAUUUAGAGACAGGGUCUUUCUAAGUUGCUGAGGCUGGCCUUGAACUUGCCAUCUUCCUGCCUCAGUCUCCAAGUCACUGGGACUACAGGUGUGCACCACCACACGAAGCACACAACAAAUCUCCUAUAAAGAGCCACAAAGUAAAUACUUCAGGUUUUGAGGAUCCUGUUCAUGACUAUUACCUACGGUCCCACAGCAUAAAAGCAACCACAGACAAUAUGUAAAUAAACGUGAUUCUGUUUCAAUAAAUUUUUUUUUUACAAAAUUGAAAUUUAAUUCACAUUUCACAGAAUAUUAGUCUUUUAAUUCCCGCCCACAACCACUGAAAGCUAUCCUUAGCUCAAGGAUAUUCCACUGGGCAGAGAAGGAGAUGGCUCUCAGGCUGACCCCUGCUGUGAGGCUGACCCUGGCUUCUCAGGCCUUGGCCUGGUGGCCCUGGAGUGGCCACACCUCCAACAGCAGGGAUCCCUAGAGGCGGGAGUGGAAGGACCUGAGGUCUUCAGCUGGAGCGUGGAAGUGGCCAAGCAUCCCUCUUGUCAAAGCAGUCCAAGGGCCACCCAGCUUGGCAAGUUGAGAGCAAACCUUCGUCACAGGAGAUGGCUGGGUCACAUGCGGAGGAGCAUGCGGAAGGCAGACACUGCAUGGCUAGCUUGGGACCUGCCCUGUGAGGCUCAGCAACGGGGCUUGCAAAGUCCCUGUUCAAGGUGCACUCAAGGACAAGGCUACAGUGGUGUCCUCACUACACUUGAGAGGGGAGCACACAGCCCUGAGAUUCACAGGAGUUUUCUAGAGGAGAAGCCAGUGCAACUGUCAAAACAGGUUUUUUAGACACUGACCUGUUUCCUCAGGUGCAGGAAUGAGGCUCCUAAGGGCACCUACCUUUCAGCAUUGUUCUGAGAAGUUAAUAAAAUGAAACAUGAAGAGUGCCUCAGUGGAGGAGUCGUGGUGUGCAUGCUCAGCUUAGUGAUGACUGUGAUCAUGGGAUUUUAUGUCAUGGGUUGGAAAUCAUUCUUUGUUUGCAGUUUUCACUGGGGUUUUACUAAAAAUUAUUUGAAAUCACAUGUAAUAAAAUGACCAACAUAAAAAUAUAUAUCCAGUUGUAUAUACAGCGCAAUCAAAUUUGGAAAUAUUCCAUCUGAUUUACAUUUUUAACUACUAACAAAAAUUUUAGGUACAAUUUGCAGAGAUAAAGUGAUAGACAAAUAUAAAAUAUUAGACAGUGGCAAUUGCAUAACAAAAAUAAUAAAAGCCGAUUCAGAAUUGUAAAUAGGGAGCAACCCAAUAUCUUUGGGUUUUGCUGAUGGAUAUUGGUUUCAACUGGUGAGUUUCUAAAAUAAGGCAGCACAUGGAUAAAAGGAUCAAGACCCAAAUAAAAGCUCCAAACAACUGCAAAUAAACUAGAUUCCCCAGUAAUAAAUCUUGAAUCUUGCUGUUUGAUCACCCUUAUCAGGCAGCAGCCUGAGAAGUUAGAAGCGCUCUCCAUCCUGCCCAGAAGGUCAAGGACCCUCUCGGCCUCAUCAGCUCCGCAUUCCUACGGGGAGGACCCUCUGUGGAGAAUGCAAAGAAUGGAAGCUUCUUGGCCUGAAUAAAACCACAGCUCCACUGCUGGUGGGGCCGCAUUUCCCCAAGGCCACCAGAGACAGCUUGCAGGAGUUUCAGAAUUACACACUUUGAUGCUCCUCAGCCAUUAAACAAUGUUUGUGGACAUGAGAAAAUGACCUUAACAUGCUGUUAAGUGAGAAAAGCAGGCACAAGACUGUAAGGAUGAUGUGAAAUAAUUUUUACCAAGCAAUGUAAGAUAAAUAUAUACGGAAAAAGCAUCACGAGUUCUUGCCAAGCGUAAUGGAAGCUGCCUCGGUGUGGCAGGAUUUAAAAGGACUUACUGACCUGUUUCCUUUGACUUUUUCUUUGUUUUCCAAGUUUUCUUCUAUACAUAUUAGUUCUAAAAUAGAAGACAAUUAUUUUAAAGCAUAACCAAAACCGAGAUAAGCCAAU